AGCCCCCAGCCAGCCCCCAGCCAGCUCAGGGCCGACGCGCAGGGGGAGGUGGAGGCCAACUGGGCCUCAGAACUUUUUUAUUUUUACAUUUUUAAAAUAAUUUUUAAAAAUUGUAUUCAUGGGGGACACACAGAGAGAGAGGGGCAGAGACCCAGGCAGAGGGAGAAGCAGGCUCCAUGCAGGGAGCCCGACGGGGGACUCCAUCCCGGGUCUCCAGGAUCACACCCUGGGCCGAAGGCAGACACUCGACCACUGAGCCCCCCGGGGCCCCUGUUCUUACUUUUUUAAUCAAGAUAUAAUUCAUGAACAGUGAACCGUUCGCAGCACACCGGUGUAACAUGAGGACUUGGUGGCCGUGCGAGGCGGGGACGGGGAGGUGGAGGAAGCGCGGGGGUGGGUGCCGCGGCCGGGAACGCUCCCCGGAGAAGAUGCCUCACGGGGAUGAAGCGCCCGCCACCACCUGUCCUCGGAGCCACGAUGGCCACUCCCCUGCAUCGCCCGUUUGCUGCGAUGGGCUCAGGUUCUGCCUCUGGCCGCUUGGUGAGGGAACGAGGAGAAGCAACAGCUGUGAGAAGGGUGGGCGUCCCAGGAGCAGGCACCGCGGCAGGCCGGGCACCCCGCAGGCCUCUCGCGUGGGGCAGCAGCCCGAGCCCGCCUUCCUCAGAGCGGGAGGCCCGCCGUCAGGCCGGUGUCCCGGGGCCGUCAGCAUUUCCUGCUGCCUCCGCUUUAGGAAUCAGCUUUGCCCUCCGAGCCAGGCCGACGUCUGCAGGUGGGAAGAGCCCAUCCGUGCAGCAGGUGCCCACAGCGGCCCGGGGCCCCGGAGCACACAUGGUCCUCCUCCCUGGGAUACGGUUCUCCUUCCCAGGGUGUGCUCCUCCCCCCUGGACAUGGUCCUCCCCCCAGGACGUGAUCGUCCCCCCUGGACACACUCCUCCCCGCCCACACGUUCCUCCCCACCCAGGACAUGCUUCUCCCACCUGGACAAGGUCCUUCCUCCUGACAUGUUCCUCUCCCCCUGGACAGGGUCCUCCCCCCAGGACAUGCUCUUCCCUUCCAGGACACAGUCCUCCUGGACAAGGUCCUCCCUCCCGGGCACGAUCCUUCCCCCUGGACACGAUCCUCCCUCCUGGACACAGCCCUACCUCCAGGAUACAGUCCUCACCCCUGGACACGUUCCUCCCCCCGGACACAGACCUCCCUACCGGGUCAGCCCAGCCCACGAUGCUUGGGGGCCUCAGCUGGGAGGUGCUCCGGGCUCCUGGUUUGCAGGGCAGAGGGGGGCCGGGCCGGGGGUGUCCCCAGUACCCCCUCCCCCUCCAGCUACAACCGCACCCCCCCCCGGGGGCCUGGCGCCCGUGAGGAGCACCCGUUCUGCAGGAC
rnacentral:lncRNA from 1 species